CGGAACGUGCCCUGGAGUGGGGGAUAACUAGUCGAAAGACUAGCUAAUACCGCAUACGAUCUACGGAUGAAAGUGGGGGAUCGCAAGACCUCAUGCUCGUGGAGCGGCCGAUAUCUGAUUAGCUAGUUGGUGGGGUAAAGGCCUACCAAGGCAUCGAUCAGUAGCUGGUCUGAGAGGACGACCAGCCACACUGGGACUGAGGCACGGCCCAG
rnacentral:rRNA from 1 species